GGAAGAUUUUUAUUUUUUUCACCUAUUAUUGCCAGUAGGCAGGACAGCACGGAAAGGGUCCAUAGCAAUAGCAACAAUAGCAUUAUAAUAUAUUACAGGGUAAAUGGGCAUGAAGACUAUAUAUAGCUAAAGAGAUAUUGUUUAUAUAUUGUUUUAAUUAAUAUAAAAUGUAGUAACUGGUAUAGCUUUUCUUGUUGAAUUGAUAAGGCACUUUUCAUUUUGCACCUUUUUUUCUUUAAAUUAAAUGCUAGCGUGUUCAUUGUUGUGUCGCACGUUCACCAGAAAGGCAAGUUUAACUGAAAAAAAAAAAAAAAAGGCUUGGAAGGUACGCGAGGAGGUGUUUAUGCUGCUGUUUUUAAAAAAUACUUUUAAAAGAAUGGCUGGUCAUAUCUAGAAAUGAUUAUGUUCAUUUUUUUAAUGUGGAAUUUAGUCUGAAACUGAUGUAGCCCUAAAGGAUGCUUUGCCUUUUGACAAGUUUUUUUUUUUUAAAAAAAAGUGUAUUUAAGCUUCCUACAAAGUAUAAUUGCAACUCUAGGCAGAGACUGACCAUGUACCAGGGGUCCUCAAACUAAGGCCCUCGGGCCAGAUGCGGCAGCUGAGGACGAUUAUCCCCCUCACCCAGGGCUAUGAAGUUUCUUUAUUUAAAGGCCCACAAAACAAAGUUUUUGUUUUUACUAUAGUCCGGCCCUCCAACAGUCUGAGGGACAAUGAACUGGCCCCCUAUUUAAAAAGUUUGAGGACCCCUGAUGUAGACUCUUAGGCACAUAUUGAAUAGCUUUUAAAAUGCUUCUUCAUCUCUCCUUAACCCACCAUCACCACCAAAUCCCAGAGCUCUAAGAAUGCAGAAUCCAGUGUUUGUAUUUAGAUAUCUCCCAGUAGUAAUCAUUAAGCUUUGGAACAAAUCAGUAACCAGUAUACUUAUUGGAAUUAAAUUUUUACUACCAGAACAAAUUUGUGAUCAUAAAGUAUAGACUAAAGGGAAGGAUAAAUUGAGGAUGAAAUGGGGUAGAAAAACAAUGUAUGGGUUCUUAUAUUGUGGGAAUUCUGAAAAUAUAUCACAGAAUAACUGUAAUUUAGCUAUUCCCAUAUUCUAGAAUUCUAGAAAAUAUUGCACUCUUCAUUUUGUAGGCAGCAGAGGGUAGAACAGGGACAAGAUAUAAGUUGAACCAUUUUUUCUUAUUUGUUAAAUAGUGAGUAAAAGGUCUUUAUGUUUAGAAAGUGAAGCUGAUACCAUCAAUACAUAGUGUCUUGGCCAAUCAGGGCUGCAAUUUAGUAAUAUCAGGAGGGACAUGAUUGGAGUUUUCAGGCAGUGGGAGAAAGGGGAUUUCCUCUAUCCCUACAGAAAAGGAGUAAUUGCAAGGUAUAGUGAACAUUUUUCCAGAACAGGAUGGUCAUUCCUUCCUCUUAAAUCUAUAAAUGUUCAUUUUUGAUCCUACAAGGUGUCAUGUUGAGCACUAUACAUGGGAUUUAGACACCUGAUUUUCUUUGGGGGUUUUUUUGUUGAACCCUAUUACCCAUAUGGUACUCUCUGCCUCAAGGCAAAAAGUAUUUGAUGGCUGUGAUAUUAGUUAAUGACCAUUACACACUCUAGAGACCUGAAUAUUUUCAUUCUAUUUUAUCAUGCUAGGAGCAAAACAGUAGUGCCAAAUGUAUUUGCAAGGACAAUUUUUUUUUUUUUUAAUUUCAGUAGCAGAAUGGAACUCACACACCAAAAAAUGAAUGUGCAAAACCCAGUCUGCUUUCUGGAAUUGUGGUCACCCACAGUUGUUGGGAACAUGUUUUGUGGCUAGCCACUCAUUCUCAAAUCCAAACUUUCCCCAUGUUUCUUCAAUAUACCUUGCCUCACAUCUCCACAAAGCAAGUUGUAUCAACUCACAGUUUAGGAAGAGGUCUUCUACAGUUAAUACAAAGAAGAGAAUGUCUUUUGUGGUCUCAAGGUAACAAAUGGAAUUUCAGUCAGUUCUUCCUAUACCUGUAAAAACCUUUACUUUUCCAUUAAAAUUAUCUCCUGAAUCUUUCCCAUGGAAUAGUAACUUUAAUUCUGUUGCUAUUUUUGGUUUUAGGGAAAAAAGAGCAUUUAAUUUAUAUUCAACUAACUCCUUUACUUAGGGUUUUUCUUUUUUAAGUAAGAAAAGUCUUUUUUGGUGGGUCUGUAUGAAGCCUAAAUAACAUCUUGAGCAUUAAAUAGAUACAUAUACCUGUAUACAUAUAUAUAUAUUUGAUCAAUAAUCAUUGUCUAACAAUAAACAAAAAAAAGUAAUCUAUUUAAAUACCUUAACAUGUGGCUACAUGAACUAUUGAACUAUUAUCAGUUAACUAUGGAAGUUAACAGUCUAAAUAUGCUCCCCUAGACACUGACAGUUUCUGCAAAAUAUAUCUAUCUAUCUAUUUAUAGAUAGAUAGAUAUCAAUUCAAGGUCUUUAUUUGUCCAUUAUAUCCUACUGGGCUGAUUAAUAAAUUACUGGGGUUUUUUUCAUUGGUUUUAUUGUAAGUCAUUUCUGAUUUACUCAAUUUUGGAGGUAGUUUUAUUAAAGUAUGUUAACUUUUUUUAACCAAAGCUUUCUAAAUAUGACCAGCCUCAGGUGCUAGUACUUUUAAAGAGCAACUAAACUUAAUUUCAGUGUCCAUUUUCAAGAUUCCAAUGAGCUAAUCUUUUCUAAGGGUGAGGCAGACCUUAAUAUUGAAUACCUGUCAAGAUUUCUGUGAUACUUGUUCUAGAUACUUGUGCCAGAUGUAAGUCUUGAGUAUCAUCACUUCAGAAUGACAUUGCUUUUGAAGGAGAGGCAGGGAUAAAUCAAGUUAGAAUAAUAUAAUGCUGCUACCAGGUCUUUUUGAAAGACCAAGAGGAUGUUGAAUGUUUCACAUUAGACACAGUUAAUAGGCAUAGACCAAUAGGAUCCAAGAUCUGAAGUGAGGUAAUGUAUUCCAUUAAUAAUAUGCUGUGCAUAAAUGAAUGUGAAAAACUUUGAAUUUUCACUUUCUGCUCUCAUUUCUUCCUUCUAUUAUUAUUCUAUAUAUUCCUUUGCUAACAUGGGAAUAAUUACUUUUAAUCAUUCUUAUAAUUGAAUUGCCUAUAUCUAAAAGUAUUCACCAGAUGAUUUCUUUUCUUUUCUUUUCUUUUCUUUUUUUUUUUUUUUUGGACCAGUCCCAUAUCAACAUUAUAACAUGAUUGAUUGAGCUUUCAUACCACUCUCAAUUAUAACAAAUAUGGCUUAUAAAGAAAAACUAGAUAGUUUAUUGCAAUGGUAUCUAUUCAGCUUGUUUCUUCUUGUGACAAUUUUGGCUUUGUUCACAGUAGAAAAUAAAGCUACAACUUAUGGCUAAAUGAAUCUUCAAGCAGAUUAUUUGCUUUAAAGUAAAUUUGGUUGUUUUUUUUUUUAGUGAGUGCAGUAUAUUCUUAGGUCUCUAAAAUCCUUAUUCACCCUUUAUAACUUAAACAAAGUUGAUUUAAGACACUGCUUCUUCUAAGUUUGGUUGUUCUUUAUGAAGUUUGUACAUUUAUAGUAUGGAUACCCAGGUCUAUGUGAGCAUGUGGGAAGGUUGGGGAGUGAAUGAAUUUGUGUGCAAUGUGAGUGAGCGUCUGACUGCUUCUAGGCUACUAAGUGUCAAUGGAAAAAGAAAAUGUAUUCAAAAUAUGUAAGUCAAAAAUAGAAGGUGGAAAAAAAGAUUUAUUCUAUACAAAGCCUUGUCUGGACCACUUUAGAGAGACUUCUAUUUUUUUAACCCUUCUAUAAAUAUUUGAUGGCACUUGAAAUAUUCCUGCAAUAAAAUGUGAUUUGUGUAAAGAAAAAAAGAUUUUGUAAUGUGAAACAAUGAAAGAAAGUAAUGUAAUUUUCUAAAAAAAAAAUACAAACAAACAAACUUUGUAUUAUUUUCUUGAUGGAAUUUGUCUAUCUGUCUUUGGAAAACUUUUUAUUUCAUUGAAUGUGCCAUAGUAGAAAUACGUGUUCUUAAGUUUUUGACUAAGGAAUAGCUGUUUGUGUUCCGACAUUCCAAAAUGCAAGACAACAUAGUAGAGUCCUAAUUAAAAAGUUGAAUUAGUCUGUAAGCUUCUAUCAUUGUUGCUUUUUUGCACAUGUUCUUCAUUCCUCUAUAGUGCAAUAUGUACAUAGAGCACUUGCGGGUGUACCUUGAUCCCUCAGGGAAAAAAAAAUUACAUAUUUGUACAGAUUUUUUUUUUUUUUUUUGCCUUUUCUUUUUUUUUUUUUUCUUUUUUUUUCUUUUUUGCUAAGGAAUGUCGAUUGAAUCACUUGUUUAUUGUUGAGAGGCAGCCAGAUAAUUAUCCUAAAAGCCACUGUUUCAAACAUUGAUUGUUUAAAUCAUAUAUGUCCUUCUAGUACAUUUAUUUUUAAAAAAUAAAAAGUUAUUUUCUGACAGUUCUUUGUGCUGAUUGGUGAAAAAAGGGUAAAUAAGCACCUUAUGAUUGACUUAACUGUGAAUGACAAUCCAUCUUGUUAUCAACAAUAGAAGCCCUAUCGUUUUUGGAGUUGGGGUUAAGAGUCAGAAACUAAUGUGCUCAGGGAUCUUCUAAAACUCUUAAAACAGGGUGGCCAGUACUACUGGGACAAAUUUCAUUUUUCAUUAAUAUUAAUAAUAUCCCACCAAGGCACAAGUGAACUGCAUAAGAACAUUAGUGUGUAAACUCUUCACAUUUGUCUUGUUUUGUUGUCUGAAACCUAUAUUUUCUUUGCUCUUAUGUGCUUAUAAACAGCAUAAAGCUGUACUAUUCUGUUCUAAAGUUAAAUGAAUAUUAAAUAUAUUAACAAAGGAACAUUGUUCAGAGUUCCAUAGCACACAUUCUGUGCUUGUUCUGUUAUUAUCAAAGUGUUCAUGUAAAAUACAUUUUAAGCAUUCUACAAUGAAAAGUAUAUUCCAGAAUUUAUUUAUGGAUAAAAUUAAAAGACACUAUUCCAAACAAGAAGUGAAUAACUGUUCUCUCACUCUUGCUCUAUCACCUUUAUCUCCUCUCUCCACCCAAUAUAACACCCCCUCCCCUUCUCUUUCUCUUCCUUUUUGCAAUUCUUUCCUCUAUUCCAUUUUUUUGCUAUAGAUAUAAAUAUGCAGAAGAAAGCUUUAAAUACUUUAUAGACAAAAUAUUCCAACAUAAGCAUAUUUUGAGACCUUCAUCUAUCCACUGAAUCAGGAACAGAUAUAUACACACAUAUAUAUGUAUAUGUGUGUGUGUGUGUGUGUGUGUGUGUGUGUGUGUGUGUGUAUUGCAUAACUUAUUAAAUUUCGGUUAAGAAAAAAUUUUUUUACUACUGUAGUGUCAAAAUAUAAUAUAAUGGAAUGUCUUUAAAACAUAUUACAAGUUAAAUCCUCCCACUCAGAAACACAAUAGGGACAUAUGACAGAUAUGAUAUGUUCCAUCUGUAGAAGUUUUUCUAUCCUUCAAUGCCUGCCUUAUAAAGCAGUUUUAGAAUAUUGAGUUAAUUUCCAUCACUUAUUUUAAGACACACAAAGUCUUUCCUCCAUCUAUAUCUGCAUUGUAGAAUGGCCAAACAUUUCCAUGUAGCAGUUGUUUCUUUUCAAUUUUUCUUUAGUGACAUCAUCUCUUGUUGGGCUCUUCAUUUAAUAACUUCUUUCAGCACCAAACUGCCAUUGUAGAUUACAAGAACCUUAUACCCACUUAUGAGGCAGGAAUCUGACCUCUAAAACUUAGAGCAAUAAUUACAUUUAGUCCAUAAAGGAAAUAUUUUUUUUUUGGGUAAUUCAACAUAAAAUGUAUUGGUCUAUGGAUUCAUUGUGGAAACUGCAUAUGAAUGUUUUAAGUGGAUGACUAGAAAAGUCAGUAUUUCUAAUCUGCAUUUAGUGUUAUGCUUUAAUUAUUGUACCACAUUAAACUUUUAUAUGUUAUUCCUUGAAACCUUUUCAUGGAACACAUUGCAUUCUCCAUACACUAUCAUGAUAUUCUCCAAGAAACAGUUCUAUGCUUUCAUUGUUCUUUGUGCACUUCAUCUAAUUGUGUCCCACCCAUUAACCCAAUCAGUCUUAAUAUGGAUUAAUACAUUUUCUUUGGAGCUGAUUAUCACUGAACAGAUUGCAUAAGUAAAUGCAAGCAACUCAUAAGCAAUAUAGUGAAUUUUAUUUCACAAAAAUACAUAUGUACUGUACACAUCUUUCUAAACUCCAAAUUCUCUUUUCUGUUUUGGUUUCAAUCUACAUGUAAAACAGUGGUAAGUGUUUUUAACAUUAGGAAAUUAGCUGGCUGCUUCUUUCUAUGUACCUGUAUUGUCUGCCUGCUCCUUUUGUGGAGAUGUGUUUUUGUAUUGGAUGUUUGGGCCAAUGGGAGGCUUCAAGCUACAACAUAUUUUCCCAAUUUAAAUAUAUUUAACAUAUGACAAACCCCAGACAAGGCUUUUAAAAUGUAUAAAGAACUGCAGUGUUAGGUGGUUUAUUUGCAAACCAUUUUCAAUGUUGUCCAUUUUUAUGGCACCUUUAACAAUAUUCUUGUUUCCAAAGUACAAAAAAAAAAAAAAUAGGUUAAAAAUACUCUAGCCAUAACUGAAUGUCAAGCAAUAAAAACAAAUGACUUUUUGUGCAUAGAUUUUAAAAAAAAUACAAAUUUUAGACAUCUGCAUGUAAAUGCAAUCUUGUUUACUGCUUUCUUCAACUUGAGCAACUGAUUCCUUAUUUUCCUGCUAACUUAAGGACUUGUAAUGGCCUGUAAACAUUUUCUCUUACUCUUCUUUCAAAUUUAUCUUUGUCUCUGCUUUUGAGUCAUGAUAUUUAAUGUUGUUCUGCUCACCUCUAUACAGUUAACUUUUUGGCUUUCAUUCUGUAUAGAUAAGAAAAUGUUAUAUUAUAAACAGCCUACUCAGUGCAAAUAUUUAUCUGUUUAUCAAAUACCACAUUAUUCUGUAUAAUACCUGUUUUACUAUAUAAUCUAUUUUAGACAUAGCUGUUUAGAACUAGAGUGUGCUAUUUUUGUGUUUUUCUGAUGUGUGGUGCUAGAUAAGUUACUUUUGUGAACAAAAAUCCCUUUUAUUCCUAGACAAUACCACCUUUGGGUCUUGUUAAUUUCACUGAGUAUAACUAUAUAUAUUUGUAUAUAUAUACAUAUAUAUAUAUAUAUAUAGCAUAUAUAUAUAUAUCUAUAUAUCUACCUGUACCCAACUGGUACCUGUAUCAGAGUGCUAGAUUUGGGACAUGCUUUUCUCUUUAAAUACAUAGUAUCAUUAUAUAAAUUAUUCUACAGUGUAUUUAAUUGGGAUAAAAUUACUUCCUUAGUAUUGAUAUUUGGCAUCAAUAGAGUGAAUUUUCUUAUAAAUAUGGAUUGUGAAAAUUUAGCACCUUUUUUUUUUAUUUGUUUUAUAACCUGGCUUUGUAAUAUUAUAUUUCUUAAGAUGAAAAAUAAUUUCCUGUAACUUCAAGACCUAAAGGCUCACUCUAGUUUCAAAAGCAAUACAUUUUUAGGUUUGUUUUUUUUUUUUUUAAAUAAUAAAUUAUAUUUGGCACCUGGUGCACUUAGCGCACCAAUUACAAAAAAAGAGACAUUUUAGAAAACAUUGUUGGUAGCUUGAUGGUAGAACAAACCUUCCAAACAAAAAGUUACUGGUAGAUGGAUAUGUUUGUCAUCUAGUAAAUGUGUGGGUCUCACAUUUGGAUAUGUUUAACUUGGAUAUGAAAUUUGUGUUAUCAGUCAAUUAUGUAAUGUUCAUUUUGAAUUAGCAAUUGGACGAGGAGCUAAUAAUUCUUCCAAACCCUUGGCAGGUUCAUUCUUGAAAGAAAUAUAUCAAAUAUCUAACUAAGGAUGUAGUUAAACCUUAUUAAAUAUUUAUUAGAAUUGUUCUGUGAUAUUACUGAAUUUAUAAGAUCUUUAGCAAAGAUUUUUGAGCAAUUUAUAAACCUAUAUGAAAUGUUUCUGUUUACUGCACUUUUUGUAACUGAAGGUGAUAAAUUCUAAUGUCAUGAUCCUGGCUUCCAUGCAUUGCAUUUGUACCCGCAAUCCCAGACAUUUUCCAUUUUUACGGAAGAUUUGUUGUUAUCAUAAAUAUAAAUGCAAUUGCACAUGGUGGGCAGGUUUCAUGAUCUCUAGAAUGCUAAUAAUAAUUACCUUUCAAAACUCAAUUGGCUAGAGGCUAGUGGAAAAAUAACACAACAUUUUAAUACAAAUCAUGAGGCCAUUCCUUCUUGCUUUAGCUUAAAAAGGAGAUACAGGCCUUUUUUACUCCAUUUAACAUCAUAGGCUGCUUAAGAGCAGGGAAUCUUAUCUUUUCUAUGUUCUCUAAAAUGCCCAGCACAUUGUCGGCAUUUAAUAAAGGUUAAGUAAUUAUAAUAAUAAUUGACUUGAUUGCAACAUUGUUUUUCGGAAUUGUUUAGGUGUAUUUAUAAAGUAUACCAAGCCUUAUGGUUAAUAUUUUCUCCUACAACCAAGUGUUUAAAGUAACAUUUAAAAAUACCACAUUAAAUGAUGAUUACAGAAGUGUGUAGGUCUAAGGAUGAAGCACACAAAUUUCACAAACCUCGCUGAGUUCCAGACUCAGCCUUCUGUAAAUAUUCAUGCAAGUACAAAAAAAAAAAAAAAAAAAUACUGUACCUAUAAAUAUCUGCUGUCUCUUUGUGUACAGUAUGUACAAACUCCUUUUUUUUCUGCCACAAUGAAAAUGCAAGCCAUUUACAAGAAUCCUAAAAAAUAGAGUAUUGUACUAAAACUUUGCUAAUGAUCUUUAUUAGAGGAUUGUUUAAAUUUUCACUUACAUUGGGUCUUCUUUUAAGUUCACUCUUAAAGUAGUCUGCUUAUAUUCAGCUGUUUGUUAUUUUACUGAGUCCUGAAAAAAAAAGUAUUUUGAUUCAUUUUGUAAAUACAGCUGUAAAAAAGAGAUUUAAUGUUGUCUUUUAAAUACUCCAAUUUUCAUUCUAAUAUGAAUGUUGUUAUAUUGUACUUAGAAAACUG
rnacentral:lncRNA from 1 species